rnacentral:lncRNA from 1 species
UUCCACUGAGCUGAAUCCUGCCUAAUGCUUUUUUCCUGAAUUCCAGAUUGCUUACUGGGAAGUAUUUGAUGGGUCAGUCAUCAGAGAGUUGGAAGGUUCUUUGUCUGGGUCAAUAAAUGGCAUGGAUAUCACCCAGGAAGGAGUGCACUUUGUCACAGGUUGGUCCUGGAUUAGAAAAGAAAGCCAAGCUUGGCUUAUUUAGAUGGGAAUGGGGGGGGGGGAGACUCUCUUGUGGGAGGCAAUUUGGAAGAGAUGGCAAAAGGGUCUCAAGGGUAGUUUGGUUAGACUCAGAUCUGAAGACAACAGCCAAUUUGUUCUGGAAGAGAAAGAUCCAGAAGACACAUUCAAUGAGAGGAAACAUUUGCAGAGGAGACUUAAGGACACAAAUAACAGCUAAGUCUUAUAUUGCUGGGUUUGCUUUGUGUGGUGGGUAUGGAUGACUAAAAUGGACGUUUAAAGUGUCCUGGGUUGUCCAGUUGCUUCCUUCACUAUGUUCUACUGAAGUCCUAAAUACCAGUCUUUUCAUUCCCUUUUAUUGUUGAAUGCUAUAAUGCGCCCCCCCCACCUCCAAUAAAUGAAUUAACCAUUAUUCAAGGGAGCAUUUACUACAUAAUAUGAUGACUGGAACAAUAUCAACAUAACUUCCUGCCAGUCUGAUUGAUUCUUCAGGCCAUUAACAAACACUCUAAAUGAAUUAAAAUUCUGCAAACACAUUGACUUAAAGCAAGAUUUCAAACUAGACACAGUGUGGGCUGAGGUUGUGGCUCAGUGGUAGAGCGCUUGCCUAGCAUGUGUGAGGCAUUGGGUUCAAUCCUCAGCACCACAUAAAAAUACAUAAAUAAAAAAAUAAAGAUAUUGUGUCCAUCUACAACUAAAAAAUAUUCAAAAAAAUCUAGACACAGUGUGAUCCAAUCAUAUAUACAGGUAUAUGUAUAUAACUGUCUAUACAUAUACAUAUAUAUGUAUAUACCUGUCUAUACAUAUACAUAUACAUAUACAUAUACAUAUGUAGAAAAGACUGAAAGGAAUUGAACCAAGAUGUUAUUAGUGGUUAUUUCUGGGUGAUGAAGGAUGAAUUCAUCUCUUUGCAUUUUCCCUCUGAAUUUACUAUAACACACAGAUAGAUUUUUUUUUUUUUCAACUAUGGGCAAUUAUGCCAGGUUGGUCUGGGUUUCCUGGGAUCCAGGGAUUCUCCCUCCUUUGUCUCCAGGGACUACAAGUAUGUGGUUACCAUUCCCAGGCAUGCUAGAUUUUUAUAAUCAUAGCAUUAUAUAAAGAUAGGUUUUUCUUUAAGUUGGCACAUGGUGAAUGUGUUGACAAUAAUCUGGUUGCCAGGCUCAGUGGCCCACACUGUAAUCCCAGUGACUAGGGAAGCUGAGGCAUGAAGAUUGCAAGGUUGAGGAUAAGCAGCUUGGCAAGACCCUGUCUCAAAAAAAAAAAACAAACCAAAAAACAAAAAACAAACUUUUUUUGAGACCAGGGCCAUUUCUCUCUAGUCUAUUGCAGUGAUGCCAUAUAACUGUGUUUUUCAGGUGGAAGUGACCAUCUGGUUAAAGUUUGGGAUUAUAAUGAGGGUGAAGUGACUCACGUCGGUGUGGGACACAGCGGCAACAUCAUGGGCCUCCGCAUAAGUCCUGGAAAUCAAUACAUCAUUAGCGUAAGUGAAGAUGGAGCCAUUUUGCGAUGGAAGUACCCGUUUGCCUCCUGAAGCACCGGACCUCCCUGGCCACGGUGCUGCGCAGUCCUGCUGAAGACUGAAUUUGGGCAGCUCCACACUAGUCUUGAUUUCUUUCAUUGGCGUCUUUGU